GCCUUCGUGGUGUAGUGGUCAGCACGCUCGGCGCGUAUUCGAGAGGUCCGUGGUUCGAGUCCUGGCGAGGACA
rnacentral:tRNA from 1 species